UUCGCCCUAGGGGAGCAUAGGUCCCUAGUUGUCGUGUAAAAAACGCGCCUAGCUCCUGAAACGCCCUAGCCCCUAUGCGCGCGCGCGUGGGGCCCAUAGAAGUAUACCAUAGCGCAGGGUUUAACCCGCUGGAGCUACAGGGUGGGCGGUUCAUUGCGCUUGCACGCAAGCAACACGACCACGAACGAAGCGAUACAAGGUGGAACAGCGCGUUUUACGGCAAUCGAAGUUGUGUGUGUGUGACGCGCUUGGUGUGCAAAGAGCAGUUUAGUUGCGUGUGUGACGAAGGUGUAUGCGCAAAAUAGCACGACCACGAACGAAGGUGGAAUAUCGCGUUUUGGCGUUUGGUGUGUGCAGAGCAAUCGAGUUGCGUGUGUGACGCGUUUGUUCGCGCAAACAGCACGACCACGAACGAUGCGAUACAAGGUGGAACAGCGCGUGUUGCGCACAAUCGAGUUGUGUGUGUGCGUGUGUGUGACGCGUUUGUUAUGCGCAAAGAGCACGACGACGAUCGUCUUCUAACUGCGCCAGAGCAAACCGAUUGUUGAAUACUACACACGUAUUGCGCGGGCGUUAAAACUAGAGAAACACGGGAUUGUGACGCGACCAGCCGCAGUGUAUAGGACUGUACGUACGUAAGUUUACAGCACCGACUUUUAAUUCGGAGUGAAUAAGGGACACACCACGAGUGAUUCGUAUGCGCAGGUUAACACAUGUGCAUUAAUUAGCGGUGGUAUAGAAAAAGAAAGGGGGGGGGGGGGAAGCGGAGUGCGGCGGGGAUUGCUGAGACAGGUGCUCGAAAGCAUUUCCGCGCAAGUUUUGUCGGUGUACUCGAUGAACUAAAUGCCGCAUUAAAGAAAUUGUGACGAAAUGUUGGCAUGUGCGUAGUGGCUUAGUUUAAAAUGUGUCCGAGAGUAAAUCCGAAAAGAACCGAAGCGUACCAUGUGUAAAAAAAUGUGUGAAAACUACAGCUUCAAGCUUAUGUUAUGCAGCAUUGUCCAAUGUCGAGAUAUUGUUCUUAUGAAUGUAGCACCCAUCUCCCUUGUACACAUAUGUUCUGGCUUCGUUGCACUAUCAUCGAGGUUAAUAAAACUGUAUCCACAACAAGUGCGUCGCCCUGGUUUCGGUUUCGGUUUUCGCUGCCAUUCGUGAUAAUAAACCGUUUGUAAAUCGUACCUUUUGUUGGCAAUUCUUUGGACAGGGAACGAAAACAAAAACUGGCAAUUAAAAUAAGCAAUACGUAAAAUGUUUUAAACGAAAAACUGUUUCAACAUUCUUUAAAGUAACUCUAACAUUCUAGGGCUCUAAGCGUCAUCUGUUUCCGGUAGUCAAAAUGUGUCAUAGCGGCUUCCUGUCUCUGGUUUCGGUUUUCGCUGCCAUUCGUGAUAAUAAACCGUUUGUAAAUCGUACUUUUUGUUGACAAUUCUUUGGACAGGGAACGAAAACUGGCAAUUAAAAUAAGCAAUACGCAAAAUGUUUUAAACGAAAAACUGUUUCAACAUUCUUUAAAGUAACUCUAACAUUCUAGGGCUCUAAGCGUCAUCUGUUUCCGGUAGUCAAAAUGUGUCAUGGCGGCUUCCUGACAAUUGGAUGUGAGCGUGGACGUGAGCCCAACAUGAGAGCUUCGAUGGUACAUCUAAGCUUUCUUGGUUAUCCCAAGCUGUUCCUUAUCCUUCCGCGUAAUAACUCUUUCUUGUACCCAAUAGAAUGCCGAAUAGAGAUCGUAUAGAAGCUCAGAGGCUGCACCUGUCAUUCACAUAGACAGAUAGCUGGAAUGUACAGACUAAAAAAGCUCGGAAGCGCUUGCGCUCUUUGGAGAAUUUUGUAUGAGCAUUUUCAGGCUGUUCUGGUGACACUAAAAAAUACUGGCUCUCCUGUAAUCGAGAGUGGAUGUAAGCACGAAAUGGCUGCCAACAAAACAGAUUGAUUGUAGAUGAUACUAGCCACAAUCUUAAAAUGGGUGUAGCGUACAUUCCCAACGGCACACCCCACCCCACCGCACCACGCAACUGUACACUGGUCCAUAUGGAAGCAAGUUUCCUGUCAAAGACAGAACCCCAUUGCAAGUCUCGUCUCGGUCCACCAGAUGCGCCGUGGACCUCGCGGACUGCUGGCAUUGAAAAGAGCACAAGCAACUGUGUCUCAGUGCCAAAAAAUGACAAUCAAGUGUACAGUGCCUUGUAUCUGCCUCUGAACGUCGCUAUUAGAAGUGACCAAUAAAACUUCAGCGUACUAGAAGUUACAGCUUGAGUGAUAUUGUGAGCAAAUAUUUAGAACUCAGAAGCAAUAUUUUUUGUAACAUGUUUGGGAAGUAACUAGCAUAUGUAUUGCAGUCUUGACUGUUUGCCCGGAUGAGCUGGUUUGAGUGACAGGAUAAUGACUCUGGCUUUUGGUUCAUUGAAGGUGGCUGACAACAGGAGCUAAAAGCAUUUCAUGCUUAAAAUGUCUGCAGCAGCGGCACUGUUCGGUUAGUCAAGGACCUCAUUUCAUGGCCCUCAUUCUGACACCUUCGAACGCUGUUUCUGCCUUUGUAACGCUUCCUAGAAUUUAUCCUUCAAAUUCUUAUGUGAAAGAACCAUGCAUCAAUUUUGGCGUAUUUCUCAAACUGUACGAGCAGAAUUGCUGCUGAUUUCAUAAAUACAACCUAUAAAUCAAUACAGCAGAAUUGUUAGUUGAAAUAUGUAAUCCAAACCAAGGAGCCAUUCUCAAGACGAUGUUCCCGCUGGCACUGAUGCGUGGCAUUCCUGGCGUUGGUGAAACCUUUAUUCUACAUGAUAAAGCAUGAAACAUUCACAUGUGCUCUUCUUUCCUUCUUUUUUGAGCUUUGCUGUUUCAAGGAGCUUUGCCCUUUGAGUGGCAGCAGCCUGAUUGACAUAGCUUCUGACUCACAUAUUUAACAUUUUUGCACAGAUUGGUCAAGGAGUAGCCAGAUUUUGAGAAGUACAUCUUUAGCAGAGUCUAUAGGUGCUGGCUUUUGGUGUGGAGAGACAAGCAGCUUCAUAGCUUCCCUCCUGUCUCUUGUCAUUGUGUCAGCAAACUGAAAUGAAAACUCUCGAAACAGUAUAUUUGCUAAUGAGGAAUCUUUGCAAGGCACAUUGUGAAGCGCAUGCCGAUGAAUUGCUUCAACCUUUUACAUUAAACAAAUUAUGCCAUGUGCUGUCGAGAGGCAAAUAAAGCUGUUCGCUUUAAAGAUUAACAAUAAUAUCCGCAGUUUGUGAAGUGAUUGAGAUAUUGUUACCCAGUACCUUCAACAAAGAUGUUAUGGGAAACAGUGCAAGGAACUAGCAUACUUACACUAAUUGCAGGUAUUUGGCGGAGUUGUAUGGGAGACAAGAUAGCCAACCAAUUUUCCUCUAAUGCAUGUGAGCUUUGUCAUCCUCAUGGUGUAAUGUAAUCAUUUCAGGUAGCGGAUAAAGAAUGUGUGGCAACAUGAAAUGGCCUUUGACGACACAGGCGAGUAGUGGAUGCCACACUUCAGUUCUAAUUAAAGUUACAUCAGCACAGAGCAUGUAUGCUACGACCAAGUUGGGUCCAUACUUUGGAUUACUGUGUACAGUGUCACUCUCUUCUGCAUUGCAGAAGAUGGAAGCCAGUGUUUCUUUGCUGUUGCCAUUUCAAUUUAGUAUAUUUUCAUGUUUUCAUGUUCUGAAAAAUACAGCCAGAGGUUGCACGGUCUUGAAAUGAAGACUACUUUUUGUGUUUUCAAGAUAAAGGUUUAGCUAUAAUAAACGGAAUUUCCAAAAAACAAAUUUUAUGUUUGGCCUGCCUUCUUUUGGGUGAUCAGACAUGGGAGCCAUUGAGGCAUCAUGGCUCAUACGUGCUCCAUUUAUGCUUGAGAGGUGUGUGCACAAUGCUCCUUGCA